rnacentral:rRNA from 1 species
AUUGAACGCUGGCGGCAUGCCUUACACAUGCAAGUCGAACGGUAACAGGUUAAGCUGACGAGUGGCGAACGGGUGAGUAAUAUAUCGGAACGUGCCCAGUAGUGGGGGAUAGCCCGGCGAAAGCCGGAUUAAUACCGCAUACGACCUACGGGUGAAAGCGGGGGAUCGCAAGACCUCGCGCUAUUGGAGCGGCCGAUAUCAGAUUAGGUAGUUGGUGAGGUAAAGGCUCACCAAGCCGACGAUCUGUAGCUGGUCUGAGAGGACGACCAGCCACACUGGGACUGAGACACGGCCCAGACUCCUACGGGAGGCAGCAGUGGGGAAUUUUGGACAAUGGGCGCAAGCCUGAUCCAGCCAUGCCGCGUGCGGGAAGAAGGCCUUCGGGUUGUAAACCGCUUUUGUCAGGGARGGAAUCCUUUGGGCUAAUACCCCGGGGGGAU